rnacentral:rRNA from 1 species
UUAUCCACUACCUUAGUGAGAUAGUGACUAAAAAUAAAGAGACCAAUCCUUUGGAUUGGUUAUUUCAAUGAGUUGAGCUUAAAUAGCUCUUCGAGGACCCAGUGGAGGGCAAGUCUGGUGCCAGCAGCCGCGGUAAUUCCAGCUCCACUAGUAUAAAUCGUCAUUGCUGCGGUUAAAAAGCUCGUAGUUGGAUUUGAGGCACGUACAGCGGUUCGGCUCUGCCGUUAAUCACUGUUGUGUCUAAUUUGUUGGUUUUCUGUUGGUAACUUCGGUUCCUUCAGUGGCUAGCAAGUUUACCUUGAUCAAAUCAAAGCGCUCAAAGCAGGCGAUUGCUUGCAUUUGGGAUCAUGGAAUAAUAAAAUAGGAUUUCGAUUCUAUUUAUUGGUUUAGAAUUGAAUUAAUGAUUAAGAGAGACAAUUCGGGGGCAUUCGUAUCCCUGCGCGAGAGGUGAAAUUCGUGGACCGCAGGGGGACGUCCAAAAGCGAAAGCAUUUGCCAAGAAUGUCUUCAUUAAUCAAGAACGAAAGUCAGAGGUUCGAAGGCGAUUAGAUACCGCCCUAGUUCUGACCGUAAACUAUGCCAUCUAGCGAUCCGAUAGGGUAUUCAUGCCUUGUCGGGGAGCUUCCCGGAAACGAAAGUUUUUCGGUUCCGGGGGUAGUA